rnacentral:rRNA from 1 species
AUUGAACGCUGGCGGCAGGCCUAACACAUGCAAGUCGAACGGUAACAGGAAGAAGCUUGCUUCUUUGCUGACGAGUGGCGGACGGGUGAGUAAUGUCUGGGAAACUGCCUGAUGGAGGGGGAUAACUACUGGAAACGGUAGCUAAUACCGCAUAACGUCGCAAGACCAAAAAGGGGGACCUUCGGGCCUCUUGCCAUCGGAUGUGCCCAGAUGGGAUUAGCUAGUAGGUGGGGUAACGGCUCACCUAGGCGACGAUCCCUAGCUGGUCUGAGAGGAUGACCAGCCACACUGGAACUUGGACACGGUCCAUGCUCCUACGGGAGGCAGCAGUGGGGAAUAUUGCACAAUGGGCGCAAGCCUGAUGCAGCCAUGCCGCGUGUAUGAAGAAGGCCUUCGGGUUGUAAAGUACUUUCAGCGGGGAGGAAGGGAGUAAAGUUAAUACCUUUGCUCAUUGACGUUACCCGCAGAAGAAGCACCGGCUAACUCCGUG